rnacentral:rRNA from 1 species
GCAAGUCGAGCGCUUCACUUCGGUGAGGAGCGGCGGACGGGUUAGUAACGCGUGGGAAUAUACCCUUUACUACGGAAUAGCCUCGGGAAACUGAGAGUAAUACCGUAUACGCCCUUCGGGGGAAAGAUUUAUCGGAGAAGGAUUAGCCCGCGUAAGAUUAGAUAGUUGGUGGGGUAAUGGCCUACCAAGUCUACGAUCUAUAGCUGGUCUGAGAGGAUGAUC